UGUCACUGGACGGACUGAUGGGGAGUGAAUGGAUGCACGGAUGCCCGAGCAAACCCGGGGAUAACUGUCAGACUCAGCGGUGUGACAGGUGUCAGGACGCAGUCUACGUAGAGACGUGCAGUUUGUGGGUUUCGUACUAUCCCCAGAUCAAGGCACCCAUCUACAGUAAAUAUUUUAAAAUCACGGUACCUUGCCCCUAGCCACUGGCCAGCGGUUUAAUAAAAACAGGACUAGAGAGUGCCCAGGGCCUGGCUAACGGCUUCCAGCACUAAUCACGGCAGCCACAGCCGUCUGGCAUUGUCACAGAAGCCGGUUCCUCGCACACUAAGCCCCCGCCUCCCUUCUGCAGGCCCCAGCAUCAGGGAUCUAAGGCCUGACACUCUUGCAGACCCAGGAGAGGCUGUGAUGAAACAGAAAUGUCACAGGACUUCCUCCCCGACUGUCAGAAAACACCACUUGCUCCUCUGCUGCUACUCCAUCACGCGAGGCCCUUUACUCUAUUAGUCACAGGCUCCAUACACCUGAAAUCCAAGUGUCCAGGCCCUUCCUUGCUACAGAAAGCACUGAAUUAGAUUGAUACUGUCCACUGCCUCCGUCAGGCAGCCACUAUCAGCGCAGGCUGGGGCAGCGCAGGGACUACACACCGCUCUGCCUCGGGCCUGGCAGGUGCUGUCAAGAGAUGAGAAAGUGCCCUGUGUCAGCUACGUUCAGAAGACAACGCCUGGCACGUGAGAGGCCCCGGAAGGUCCUGAUUCAGAGACGGGUCUAAUCUUGUUGCACCGCACCCCUGACCACAUCUCACUCUGAGUCGCCUGCCUCCUCCUCACAGAACCAAUCAGGGCACUGCAGGUAGAUGCUCCUUGGAACCGCUAGUCUGGGGAGCUUAUUAAAAUACUGGGGCCCCAGUCCAGAGGUGGGGCCAGGGCAUCUGCAGUCCUAACAACACCCACAGGUGAUCCCGCCGCACAGGGAACUCGGUCCAGUGGACGCAGACUUCCUGCGGCAAACGGACGGGAAACUGCACGAAAGCCACUCACCAGGUGGCGCUGCAGGAGUGCGCAGGACGGACCGUAUCCCAGCUCUGCCUGCGACAGUAGAGGGACGACUACCGCCAGGCCCACCACCCCUUGCGUCUCUGCCACCCAGCAGCACUGACAACCCACACAAAACUGUUAGGGGCUGAGCAGGAUGCUCUCCACACGCAUUAGCUGUUGGAGUGAAGUUCACUGAACGCCACUCUUGUCAUCUUGACCCGACGUGAGAUUAACAAAUGCUCUCAAGGUUCACCCCAGGACUCAGCAUCAAUCUUUCACAGGCAAACAUUAUUCUUGGAUAUCCUAUUAUUGUUGAUAUAGCAAUAAGCCUGAAAACAUCUUAAAAAUCCACUUCCCAAGUAAAAGAUCCUAAUGAUAGUGGUGACACCCAAGGAAGCCAGGUAUGGCCUCAGCCAGCAUUCUCCCAGCGUCCACCUCCCUGGUCCCUUGGCCUCACUCAAGAGAACCACAGGGGAAUGGUCCUCCUUCCCCCCUCUCUGGCCCCACACGCUCUCCUGCCACAAGACUCCUGCAGCAACGGAGCCCUCAGCCACUCCUGGCUGACCAGAGGCCUGGAUGCUAUCCAGCCGCCUCUCCCUACGUCAGCCAAGGAGAGAAGCCCUCCCUCCCCAUCAGGGACUUCCCAACACUCAGGAUGAAGCACAAGGUCCUGGGCAUCCCAGCUCUGCUCCAGCCCAGCCCCGAUCCCUGCCACGCCAGCCCCACCCUGGCCGAGCCACUGCAGCAGUUCCCCCAGACAGGCUGCGCGCGCCCACAGCCCUGCGAGCACGCGGCUCCUGAGCCCCUCUGCCGGGCUGCCCACUCCCCACCACCCCUGCCUGGCCCAGGCCACGGGGCCUUCCUCCAGCACUUGCCCCAUCGCUGGGCUUCCUCCACUACAGCUCUGAGCAAACCAUGCUGUAACACUUCCUCACACGUUCUUCAAGGACAGGGCCUGUUCCUCAUCUACCAUCCUCAAUGCCUGGCAGAGGGCUUGCCGUGUGGUUGAUACUCAGCAAGUGCUCACUAGACAAAUAAUGUGCUUUGGUUGCUGGGAUUUAUGCUUGUUGAAUAAAGGAUAAAAGCAUCUUUCAUCUUAGUUCCUCCCCAGUCUCUGGAGGCCGCUGGGUGUUCCCACUCCUUUCCCCCUUUCCCCUGGGAGGAAGCGCCCUCUCUCACCACUGCACACCUGAGAAGUCUCUGGGUUUGAGACGGCCGGGACAGUCUGUACUCAAGGAAGCAGAGGUCAGGAUCCCUGCCCUCCUGGACAUUGGGGGAUUCCCCCAA